AGCUUGCUAGAUUGAUGGCGAGUGGCGAACGGGUGAGUAAUACAUCGGAACGUGCCCUGUAGUGGGGGAUAACUAGUCGAAAGAUUAGCUAAUACCGCAUACGACCUGAGGGUGAAGGUGGGGGACCGCAAGGCCUCAUGCUAUAGGAGCGGCCGAUGUCUGAUUAGCUAGUUGGUGAGGUAAAGGCUCACCAAGGCGACGAUCAGUAGCUGGUCUGAGAGGACGAUCAGCCACACUGGGACUGAGACACGGCCCAGACUCCUACGGGAGGCAGCAGUGGGGAAUUUUGGACAAUGGGGGCAACCCUGAUCCAGCAAUGCCGCGUGUGUGAAGAAGGCCUUCGGGUUGUAAAGCACUUUUGUCCGGAAAGAAAUCGCACUUACUAAUAUUAGGUGUGGAUGACGGUACCGGAAGAAUAAGGACCGGCUAACUACGUGCCAGCAGCCGCGGUAAUACGUAGGGUCCAAGCGUUAAUCGGAAUUACUGGGCGUAAAGCGUGCGCAGGCGGUUGUGCAAGACCGAUGUGAAAUCCCCGGGCUUAACCUGGGAAUUGCAUUGGUGACUGCACGGCUAGAGUGUGUCAGAGGGGGGUAGAAUUCCACGUGUAGCAGUGAAAUGCGUAGAGAUGUGGAGGAAUACCGAUGGCGAAGCAGCCCCCUGGGAUACACUGACGCUCAUGCACGAAAGCGNNNGGGGAGCAAACAGGAUUAGAUACCNUGGUAGUCNACGCCUAAACGAUGUCAACUAGUUGUUGGGGAUUCAUUUCCUUAGUAACGUAGCUAACGCGUGAAGUUGACCGCCUGGGGAGUACGGUCGCAAGAUUAAAACUCAAAGGAAUUGACGGGGACCCGCACAAGCGGUGGAUGAUGUGGAUUAAUUCGAUGCAACGCGAAAAACCUUACCUACCCUUGACAUGCCACUAACGAAGCAGAGAUGCAUUAGGUGCUCGAAAGAGAAAGUGGACACAGGUGCUGCAUGGCUGUCGUCAGCUCGUGUCGUGAGAUGUUGGGUUAAGUCCCGCAACGAGCGCAACCCUUGUCUCUAGUUGCUACGAAAGGGCACUCUAGAGAGACUGCCGGUGACAAACCGGAGGAAGGUGGGGAUGACGUCAAGUCCUCAUGGCCCUUAUGGGUAGGGCUUCACACGUCAUACAAUGGUGCAUACAGAGGGUUGCCAAGCCGCGAGGUGGAGCUAAUCCCAGAAAAUGCAUCGUAGUCCGGAUCGUAGUCUGCAACUCGACUACGUGAAGCUGGAAUCGCUAGUAAUCGCGGAUCAGCAUGCCGCGGUGAAUACGUUCCCGGGUCUUGUACACACCGCCCGUCACACCAUGGGAGUGGGUUUUGCCAGAAGUAGUUAGCCUAACCGCAAGGGGGGCGAUUACCACGGCAGGGUUCAUGACUGGGGUGAAGUCGUAAC
rnacentral:rRNA from 1 species